rnacentral:rRNA from 1 species
GAUGAACGCUAGCGGCAGGCUUAAUACAUGCAAGUCGAACGAACAGCAAUGUUAGUGGCGCACGGGUGCGUAACGCGUAUGCAACUUGCCUUUAACUGGGGGGAGUAACGUUUCGAAAGAGGCGCUAAUACCGCAUAAUACAGUGAAGACACAUGUUUUUAUUUGUUAAAGCUCCGGCGGUUAAAGAUGGGCAUGCGUAGGAUUAGCUAGUUGGUAAGGUAACGGCUUACCAAGGCGACGAUCCUUAGGGGUUCUGAGAGGAAGGUCCCCCACCAUGGUACUGAGAUACGGACCAGACUCCUACGGGAGGCAGCAGUAGGGAAGUAUUGGUCAAUGGGCGCAAGCCUGAACCAG